UGCGGGGUUCGAAACUAAAAUCGAAAAUGAAAAAAAUGUGGAGACGCGGCCACUCCUCUCCCCCGAUGCGCCGCCGCCCCCCGUCCCCACUGCUCCGCCUCCGCUCCCAGCCUCUCCCCCUCGGCGUUCGCGCCUCCGGAUCGAAGCCCACGACGGCGGCGUUCCCAGAUCGGCGACGCGCCACCCCUGGCUCGUCGUCACCGCUGACCGCCGCGUCCUCGUCAUCGUAAAGGAAGCGCGGCUUCCAGCCGGCGGCGACGCGAAGAAGCUGCUCCUGCUCCCGCGGCUGACGGCGGCGGCCGUGACGAAGCUGCUCCUGCUCCAGAGGGGCGCCUCUGGCCCCGCGUGUUCCACCGGGAGAGGAGAGGAUCUUCUUCUUCUCGGGCGACGACGCAUCCUCCUCCUCCGCCGCCCUGCGUACAUGGGCGCUCACCACGGAAGGUACAGCGCGCGCUCCGCUUCUCCCGCUGGCCGCUGCCAUCUCCGCAGCGGAUGAUGUUUGCCUCUUGCUGCCCAAUCCCGGGCGACCGCAGGGGAGGUACCGCUGGAGCUCAAUCUGGCGUUCAACGGCGCGGACAUCCCCUGUGGGUUUCGGCUGGGCGGGCAUCUCCUACUCUUCCCGGACCUCAUGGUCCAGGUCCAGCACAAGUCUGCCCUACAUGAUGCCCGGCAGCCUCACCAAGCCGCAGAGACGGUAAUUAAGCUCUGCACUCCAACAGCUUGCACGGCUCCGUCGCCGCCGAGAUCAUCAACUGCGCCAAGCCGGGUGCAAUUUAUGCGUGCCACCAACUAAAGAUGAUGGUAGAGUUUUUCCUGUCAACGACAACUCUGCGUUGAUGUGGUGCCUCGGCCUCCCGUGGAUGAGCUGAUGAUGAGAAUUGCAGGCACGGAGGGGUUGUACACGGAGCUGCAGGGGAAGAUGAUGGGCAAUAAGGCCACAGAGUAAGCGCUCAUCUUUGUCGAGGAGUGCGGACUCACCAGCCUUCUCACGCCGGAUCAGUUCCUCAAGGAGCGGGAGAGUAUGCUCCAGGGGGUCUCUUCCUCCUGCGUGCCUGAUGCUUGGCAAGAUUGAUGUUGUUGGCGGCACAAGGGGCAAGGCGGUGAAGAGAGAAGGAAGUGCAUGCUGAAGGAAGUGCUUUGUGUCACGCAAGUGCUAAUUGAUGGAUGGAUAUGGCUGGUGAUAGAUAUGUGUUGUGUACUUAGUAGAUAAAACGGCUUGGUUUUGUUUGUCAUGAACCUCAAAUGUUGGAAAUCGAUGUAAAUGCAUUUCCCAGCUCUUGUUUAUGUUGGGCUGGGCAAUGAGAUGAGCGAGGGCGAUACUAGAAACAUGCAUGCCACCGUAAAUUUCUGUAUUUCUUAAAUGAAGUGGAGGAAUUUAAGAAA